UCCCUCGUCUGUCUCCUCUUCUCCUAGGGGCCCAGCCUCUGUGGCCCUGUGACCUGCAGGUAUUGGGAGAUCCCCAGCUAAGACGCCAGGUCUCCCUGGAAGCUUAAAAAUGAUGGACUCUUGCUUUGUCGUCAGACUGGAGUGUGGUGGGAUAAUCUCGGCUCUCUGCAACCUCCACCUCCCAGGUUCAAGCAAUUCUCCUGCCUCAGCCUCCUGAGUAGCUGGGAUUACAGCAUUCUUUCAAGUGCACAAAGUGUGCCCAAGGCUGCCCCUUAGAUGCCUAAAUCCAAUGUGUACUGAAAUUCAGGUGUCCAGGAAUUCAAGAACACAUCCAGAAAACCUGGCUGUUGUAGAAAAAAAUAUAAAUUAGAAAUGAAAAGCUUUAUUCUUCUAUCUUGAAAUAAGCACUUAGCAUCUUAAAGCAUUUAGAUGAUAUGUACAUUUAUCUUUGUUAUUUUGAAAUAUACAUAAAUUAUAUUAACAGCU
rnacentral:sRNA from 1 species